UUCCGGUUGAUCCUGCCGGACCCGACCGCUAUCGGGGUGGGGCUAAGCCAUGGGAGUCGCACGCUCCGCCGCCGCGGGGCGUGGCGCACGGCUGAGUAGCACGUGGCUAACCUACCCUCGGGAGGGGGAUAACACCGGGAAACUGGUGCUAAUCCCCCAUAGGGGAAGGCGCCUGGAAGGGUCCUUCCCCGAAAGGGUUUGGCAGGGGUUAUCGCUGCCAAGCCGCCCGAGGAUGGGGCUACGGCCCAUCAGGUAGUUGGCGGGGUAAUGGCCCGCCAAGCCGAUAACGGGUGGGGGCCGUGAGAGCGGGAGCCCUCAGAUGGGCCCUGAGACAAGGGCCCAGGCCCUACGGGGCGCACCAGGCGCGAAAACUCCGCAAUGCGGGCAACCGUGACGGGGUCACCCCGAGUGCCCCGAAGAGGGGCUUUUCCCCUCCGUAAGAUGGAGGGGGAAUAAGCGGGGGGCAAGUCUGGUGUCAGCCGCCGCGGUAAUACCAGCCCCGCGAGUGGUUGGGACGGUUAUUGGGCCUAAAGCGCCCGUAGCCGGCCCGGCAAGUCCUCCCUUAAAACUCGGGGCUCAACCCCGAGACGGGGGGGAUACUGUCGGGCUAGAGGGCGGGAGAGGCCGGCGGUACUCCCGGGGUAGGGGCGAAAUCCGCUGAUCCCGGGAGGACCACCAGUGGCGAAGGCGGCCGGCUGGAACGCGCCUGACGGUGAGGGGCGAAAGCCGGGGGAGCGAACCGGAUUAGAUGCCCGGGUAGUCCCGGCUGUAAACGAUGCGGGCUAGGUGUUGGACGGGCUUAGAGCCCGUCCAGUGCCGCAGGGAAGCCGUUAAGCCCGCCGCCUGGGGAGUACAGCCGCAAGGCUGAAACUUAAAGGAAUUGGCGGGGGAGCACCACAAGGGGUGGAGCCUGCGGCUCAAUUGGAGUCAACGCCGGGA
rnacentral:rRNA from 1 species